rnacentral:tRNA from 2 species
GCGGCCGUGGCCAAAUGGAUUAAGGCUCCUGACUACGGAUCAGGCGAUUGGGGGUUCGAGUCCCUCCGGCCGCGCCA